GGGGGAGGAGCCAGCCAGGAGCCCAGACUACGUUUCCAAAAGUGCGCUGCCUUGGACAUCCAGCGCUCUGGGCACCGGUGGGGCGAGUUUGGGGCCCCCGCAGAAGCCCGCCCCAAGGAGGAGCCCUGGGGGCAGGCCCUCCUCGGGACACCGAGGAAACACUGAAGGUUCUUUAUUAAAAAAAAAAAAAGAAAAGAAAGAAUGUACAGUGCUGCAGCUGUUUUGAGAAACAAUUGGGCCGUUCUCACAAUAUUAGUUACCAUAUAGCCAACAAUUCCAAAGAAAUGAAAACACUCCUUCACAUGAAAACUUGUACAGCGAUGUUCUAUCCUAGAAGCAUUAUUCAUAAUAGUCAAAAAGUGGAAACAACCCAAAUGUCCAUCAGUGGAUGAAUGGAUCAGAUAAACGUGAUGGACUUCUCUCCUGGCCACUGAUGCGCGUGGCGCUUGACAGCUCCCCAGCUUUGCCAUCCUUCGGGGCUUGGGAAGAGCAGCAACUUCAGCAGUUCCUCCAGGUGCCUGCAGGGCAGCUCAGUUCCCAGCCAACCAAAGUGCUAAGAUGAUCUACACUCAAGUGCCAAUAAGAAAUGUAACUGUAGGGGCGCCUGGGUGGCUCAGUCAGUUAAGCGUCUGCCUUCGGCUCAGGUCAUGAUCCCAGGGUCCUGGGAUCAAGCCCCACAUUGGGCCCUGCCCAGCGGAGAGUCUGCUUCUCCCUCUCCUUCUUCUGCUCCUCCUGCUUGUGCUCUCUCUCUCUCUGUCAAAUGGAUAAAUAAAAUCUUAAAAAAAAAGAAAAAGAAAAAAAGAAAUGUAACUGUAUGCUCUGUACUGAGUAACAAUGGCUGGUAAGAUAAUCUAAUGAUUCUUAAUAGCCCGUAUGAUUUUUAUUGUUGUUUUCAUUUCUAAUAUUGCAGUGUAAACAACAUUGAUUCAUAUCAGUUUUUCUGAUUUGAUCAUAUAUAUUAUAUUUUUUCUUGUAUAA